rnacentral:rRNA from 1 species
GAUGAACGCUGGCGGCGUGCUUAACACAUGCAAGUCGAACGGAGAGCCAAUGACGGAGUUUUCGGACAACGGAUUUGGUUUCUUAGUGGCGGACGGGUGAGUAACGCGUGAGCAACCUGCCUUGGAGUGGGGAAUAACAGCUGGAAACAGUUGCUAAUACCGCAUAAUGCAGCGAGGGGACAUCCUCUUGCUGCCAAAGAUUUAUCGCUCUGAGAUGGACUCGCGUCUGAUUAGCUGGUUGGCGGGGUAACGGCCCACCAAGGCGACGAUCAGUAGCCGGACUGAGAGGUUGACCGGCCACAUUGGGACUGAGAUACGGCCCAG